rnacentral:rRNA from 1 species
GAUGAACGCUGGCGGCGUGCCUAAUACAUGCAAGUCGAGCGAACAGACGAGGAGCUUGCUCCUCUGACGUUAGCGGCGGACGGGUGAGUAACACGUGGAUAACCUACCUAUAAGACUGGGAUAACUUCGGGAAACCGGAGCUAAUACCGGAUAAUAUAUUGAACCGCAUGGUUCAAUAGUGAAAGACGGUUUUGCUGUCACUUAUAGAUGGAUCCGCGCCGCAUUAGCUAGUUGGUAAGGUAACGGCUUACCAAGGCAACGAUGCGUAGCCGACCUGAGAGGGGGAUCGGCCACACUGGAACUGAGACACGCUCCAGUCUCCUACGGGAGGCAGCAGUAGGGAAUCUUCCGCAAUGGGCGAAAGCCUGACGGAGCAACGCCGCGUGAGUGAUGAAGGUCUUCGGAUCGUAAAACUCUGUUAUUAGGGAAGAACAAAUGUGUAAGUAACUAUGCACGUCUUGACGGUACCUAAUCAGAAAGCCACGGCUAACUACGUG